AGCUCCAAUAGUAUAUAUUAAAGUUGUUGCAGUUAAAAAGCUCGUAGUUGAAUUUCCGGCUGGUUACAGCCUGUCUGUAAGGGUGUUGGAUACCGUAAAAAGUUUCUGGCUCACGAACAGACUUUUACUGUGAAAAAAUUAGAGUGCUUAAAGCAGGCUUUUGCUUGAAUAGUUCAGCAUGGAAUAAUAAAAGACGACUUCAGUCAUUUUAUUGGUUAUUGACAGAAGUAAUGAUUAACAGAAACAGAUGGGGGCAUUCGUAUUUGAUAGUCAGAGGUGAAAUUCUUAGAUUUAUCAAAGACGAACUAAUGCGAAAGCAUUUGCCAAGAAUGUUUUCA
rnacentral:rRNA from 1 species